GCAUGUCACCUGCCUGCACCGGGUGCCCGGGCGGGGCGCAUGCAAGCCGUGACCUGCCCUGUGUAGACGAGAGUUGGUGGGAGAGACCAGUAGGUGACCGGCCUGCUCAGGUCCACGUCCUGUGCCCAGUGAGGGGCCUUUCUGAGCCCAAGUCCCUGGACCCUGAGCUGAAGGGAGCUUAUUCAAUCCGUGUCAUCCAGGGUCUCCGUCCCCGGGAAAUGGCGCGUCGGGCGGAGGCAAGGCUCCGUGGGCUCCAUUCCAGGUUGACUUGGAGGCUCCUGAGAGAAAGGGUCCCCCUGUUCAGCUCUGGGCGGAGAACAGCGCCGAGCACUCACCAGGGCACAGGUGUGUGCUCUGGGAGCGGCUUCCUGCGGCCUGCGUCCCCGAUCGCUCUGGUGGCUGCCUUGACAGUGGGACCUCGGGGGCAGCAUGCCAGCAUCUGUAUCUCUCCCAGAGGCCUGCUUCCGGACCCAGGCCCAUGGGCCCCCCAGACCCUGCGUGCUGCGCCGGGGGCUGGGAGCUCGCGGGCCUGACGGCACGGCAUGCUGGCCCCGUGAUAAGCAAGGACUCCCAAACAUCAGGGCCCGAGUCAUCCCUCCUGUGGGGAGCCGCACCUGAGCCAGGCGCAGCGGGGGGCACUCUCACGCCCCUCUGCACCUCACUGGGAGAACAUGGGGGUCCCGUUUGGCAAAGAACCGAGGCUCAGAGAGAGAGGCCACCACCCAGGUUCAACCACAAGGCUGUCCCAGGCCUCAGGGCUCUCCUGCAAACUCCGAUUCCUCCAGGGUCCGGGCAAGGCACCCCAAGGGGCACUCCGAGGGGCAGCACGGGCUGUGGGUAAGCAGGGGGCCAGGGGAUGCGAGGAGAGCCUGCGGCAACCUUGGAGCAGCUGCCUGUGCGGCCUGACCUCCGUGUGGACCCCCACGUGCUCCUGCCUCGGAGUGGCACCAAACACCGGGCAGGUCAGAGAAGGCCGGCGCCCCGGACUAGUGACAAGGAUGCACACCUCCAGCACGCACAGUGGUCCCUCCAUCUCUCUGCACCCCGCCCGCCCACAGCAGCUCCGCUCCAAGGGACAGAGCAGCAGAUGGAGGCCAGCCUGUGCCCAUGUGCCUGCUGCAGUCCCGCCAGGUCAAAGUGACCCCAUGUUCCCCAAGAGGCGGGGGGAAUGCUCAGGAGUCCAGAGGAGGCUGGGGACGCUGACCUGUUUCCUGGGGCCAUUUUCCCGGUGCUGGGAUGGCCUGGGACCGUCGCCGGGAGCCUGCACUGACUGCCGGCUGGCUCGGCUGGGACCAGCNNNNNNNNNNNNNNNNNNNNNNNNNNNNNNNNNNNNNNNNNNNNNNNNNNNNNNNNNNNNNNNNNNNNNNNNNNNNNNNNNNNNNNNNNNNNNNNNNNNUGGGACCGUCGCCGGGAGCCUGCACUGACUGCCGGCUGGCUCCGCUGGGACCAGCCCCCCUGCCCCGCUCAGCUCUGCGCUCAGCCACCAGCUCUUCUCACCGGAGGCUCCACACCCCUACUGGGGGCCCCGGACGGUCUCCGGCCCCUGCCCAGCCGCCUCCCCCGACUCGAGGAGAGGUGGCCGCACCAACACGUGCCCGCUGCCCCCGAGUGAUGGGGCCGCCCCUGGUGGAGGGGAGCCUGGGGCAGCAGGGGGGGCGCCCCGUGCAGCCCUUCCGGGAUGACAGGAGCCGUCAGCCCCGCACGCCUGGCAGCCCGAAGCGCAGGAGCCUUGACAGGCCUGGACUGGCUCCAGGGGGGAGUGUGGGGGGGCGGCGUCCUCGGCACAAAGGCCGGGCCUGUCUUCACACCUGCGGGAGAACUGAGCGGCCGGUGGGGGUGGGUGCAGGGCAGCGGGGGCCGGGCCCCAUGAAUAAUUUGCUCUGAAAGAAGCAUGUCACAGGGAGAUAGCUCAGCCAGACACUUCAAAUAAAGGCGAGCGGCCGCAGUGACAGGGGACAUUCUUUGCCACCGACGUGCUGCUGGGACCUCAGGGCUGGGAUGUCGAGAAAGAAAGGCGUCUUGGACCCUUCAUAGUUAUUUUUAUUAAAAAAAAAAAUGAGAGCAAGAGAGAAAGGAUGAAAAAUACCAGCACGACGCGGGGAUGAGCCUGCAGNNNNNNNNNNNNNNNNNNNNNNNNNNNNNNNNNNNNNNNNNNNNNNNNNNNNGGAUGAAAAAUACCAGCACGACGCGGGGAUGAGCCUGCAGCCCCGGGAGGCCAGAUGACCCGGUGGCAGCUCUGUCCCGCUGGCGCAGGGACGGGAGUCGGGGCCAGGCGGCGCCCCUCCUGCUCACCCCCCCGGGGCCCCCGCCCCCACCUGCCCUUCCUGCUGCGUGAGGACCGCCCGGCCAACCGCCCGCCUUCUGACUGCCCCCAGCCGCGGGGCUUGGGUGCGACCUGUCCAGCCAGCCCAGCCCUCGCAGCAAGGACCCCGCUCUGCACGCUCCGUGCCCCCCAGCAGAGCAGAGGGUCUCGAAAACAGUGGCCGCCACUACGCUUCCACCACCGCCCGUACUCAGGGGGCCAGGCCUGAAGGCCAGGUCCCUGAGGCCAGGCCCGGGGGGGCCCCCGAACAGCCCCCUGGAGAGGCGGGGGAGACCCGAGCUGAAACGGAGUCACGCCGGAGUCUCCUCUUGGGGGAAGGCUGGUCCCCAAGCCACUGUCCCUUCAAAGGGCGCCAGGCCUGCCCUGGUCGAAGAGGAGAGGCCCAGGGCAGCUGCAGCUGCGCCGGGGCUGGGCCGUCUCUUGCCUGAGCGGUGGCUGCCCCCAAGAGGACAAACACGGCACCAGGCUGGCGUUUCAGGGGCAUGCCGGCUGGCCGUGGGGAGGGGGUAGGGAGAGAAGGGCCCAAGGGCCGGACACAUCGACACACCGGCCUGUGAGAGGGACUGAGCAAGGGCCGCCUAGUUCGCGUGCUUUAGGGUAACAGAGACCAACUAAAACACGCUACCGGGGGGGGAUACUCACGGAAGCAAUGAGAUGUACGCGCGCAGGCGUGUCUUAGCCCGGAGAGGCUGAGGGCCGAGGUGCACGCGCGCAGGCGUGUCUCAGCCCGGAGAAGCUGAGGGCCGAGGUGCACGCGCGCAGGCGUGUCA
ensembl:lncRNA